AUUACUUUUUGGCAUGUUGGCUAAGAUCAAGUGUAGUAUCUGUUCUUAUAGCUUAUUUUAUACACGACAGUUUGUACCUUUUUAUCCUCU
ensembl:snRNA U2 U2 spliceosomal RNA